CGGGAUUGCUGAACUUUAAAAAUCGUCUCAUUCAUCACUAAACCACUAAACUUUGCAAAUUUUAGUGAUAAAUAGGGUGAUUUUUAAAGUUCAGUGAUCCCG
rnacentral:miRNA from 1 species